rnacentral:rRNA from 1 species
UGGCCGAGUGCAUUAGCUAGUUGGUAAGGUAAACGGCUUACCAAGGCGAUGAUGCAUAGCCGAGUUGAGAGACUGAUCGGCCACAUUGGGACUGAGACACGGCCCAAACUCCUACGGGAGGCAGCAGUAGGGAAUCUUCCACAAUGGACGCAAGUCUGAUGGAGCAACGCCGCGUGAGUGAAGAAGGUUUUCGGAUCGUAAAGCUCUGUUGUUGGUGAAGGAAGGAUAGAGGUAGUAACUGGCCUUUAUUUGACGGUAAUCAACCAGAAAGUCACGGGCUAACUACGUGCCAGCAGCCGCGGUAAAU